rnacentral:rRNA from 1 species
CCUACGGGAGGCUGCAGUGAGGAAUAUUGGUCAAUGGCCGCAGGGCUGAACCAGCCAAGUCGCGUGAGGGAUGACGGUCCUAUGGAUUGUAAACCUCUUUUGUCAGGGAGCAAAGGGCGCCACGUGUGGCGCUUUGCGAGUACCUGAAGAAAAAGCAUCGGCUAACUCCGUGCCAGCAGCCGCAGUAAUACGGAGGAUGCGAGCGUUAUCCGGAUUUAUUGGGUUUAAAGGGUGCGCAGGCGGAAUGUCAAGUCAGCGGUAAAAUUUCGGGGCUCAACCCCGUCGUGCCGUUGAAACUGGCGUUCUUGAGUGAGCGAGAAGUAUGCGGAAUGCGUGGUGUAGCGGUGAAAUGCAUAGAGAUCACGCAGAACUCCGAUUGCGAAGGCAGCAUACCGGCGCUCAACUGACGCUCAUGCACGAAAGCGUGGGUAUCGAACAGGAUUAGAUACCCCUGUAGUC